UCUAGUAUGGCAGAUUAGUGCAAUGAAUUUAAGAUUCAUAUAUAAAUAUAUGUAUAUUUUU
rnacentral:tRNA from 1 species